CAGGGGGAGGUAAUACCACUGGAAACGUAGGUCGUAAUAACCCACUAGUAAUUAAUGUAAGGCAUCUUAUAUAAUUUAAAGCUUUGGUGGAUACGGAUUGGCUCGCGUGACAUUAGCUAGAUGGUAAGGUAACGGCUUACCAUGGCUACGAUGUCUAGGGGUUCUGAGAGGAAGGCCCCCCACACUGGAACUGAGACACGGUCCAGACUCCUACGGGAGGCAGCAGUGAGGAAUAUUGGACAAUGGAUGGAAAUCUGAUCCAGCCAUGCCGCGUGCCAGGAAGACGGCCCUAUGGGUUGUAAACUGCUUUUGUAUGGGAGCAAUAAGGGCUACGCGUAGUCCGAUGAGAGUACCAUACGAAUAAGCACCGGCUAACUCCGUGCCAGCAGCCGC
rnacentral:rRNA from 1 species